CGGUGUUACAAUACCAUAGGCAGCUUCAGAUGUCACUGUCCUACUGGUUUUGACCUGUCUUCAGAUGGACGUACCUGUAUUGAUCAUGAUGAAUGCAGUGAAACAGGCAUGUGUGCAAAUGGUAUCUGCACAAAUAUGGAUGGAUCUUUUAAAUGUGUAUGCAAUGAUGGAUACAUUUUAUCCUCAUCAGGCUUUGCAUGUAUAGACAUUGAUGAAUGUGAGGAAAAACCAAGAAUUUGCUUAUUUGGUCGUU